rnacentral:rRNA from 1 species
UACGAAGGGUGCAAGCGUUACUCGGAAUUACUGGGCGUAAAGCGUGCGUAGGUGGUGAGUUAAGUCUGUCGUGAAAGCCCCGGGCUCAACCUGGGAAUGGCGAUGGAUACUGGCUCGCUAGAGUGCGGUAGAGGAGAGUGGAAUUCCCGGUGUAGCAGUGAAAUGCGUAGAGAUGCGGAGGAACACCGAUGGCGAAGGCAGCCCCCCUGGGCCAACACUGACGCUCAGGCACGAAAGCGUGGGGAGCGAACAGG